UCUGACCGGUGCAAGGUAGCGUAAUCACUUGUUCUUUAGAAUGCUAUGAGGACUAGUAUGAAUGGCAUCACGAGGGUUACACUGUCUCCCCCAUCUAAUCAGUGAAACUAAUCUCCCCGUGAAGAAGCGGGGAUAAAAUUAUAAGACGAGAAGACCCCAUGGAGCUUUAAACUCAGUAUCAACUGCCCUAUAAUAUACCUUAGUAAACUAGCAGAUGUGAUUACUAGUUUUCGGUUGGGGUGACCGCGGAGCAAAACAAAACCUCCACGAUGAAUGGGCCUCACACCCUUAUCUAAGAGAUACCCCUCUAAGAAUCAAAAAAUUGACAAAAAUUGAUCCAAGUUAUUCUUGAUCAACGAACCAAGUUACCCUGGGGAUAACAGCGCAAUCCAUUUCAAGAGCCCCUAUCGACAAAUGGGUUUACGACCUCGAUGUUGGAUCAGGGUAUCCCAGUGGUGCAGCCGCUACUAAAGGUUCGUUUGUUCAACGAUUAAAACCUUACGUGAUCUGAGUCGGAACCGGAGAA
rnacentral:rRNA from 1 species